AACGAACGCUGGCGGCAUGCUUAACACAUGCAAGUUGAACGCAGGAUAGGACUGCGGUUCUAUUGCUGAGUAGCAAACGGGUGAGUAACGCGUGGGAAUCUACCUUUUUGUGGGGGAUAACUGAGGGAAACUUCAGCUAAUACCGCAUAAGCUCUACGGAGGAAAGGCUUCGGCCGCAAGAAGAGGAGCCCGCGUCAGAUUAGGUAAUUGGUAGGGUAAAAGCCUACCAAGCCAAUGAUCUGUAGCUGGUCUGAGAGGAUGAUCAGCCACACUGGGACUGAGACACGGCCCAGACUCCUACGGGAGGCAGCAGUGGGGAAUGUUGGACAAUGGGGGAAACCCUGAUCCAGCAAUGCCGCGUGAAUGAAGAAGGCCUUAGGGUUGUAAAGUUCUUUCACCUGUGAAGAUUAUGACGGUAGCAGGAGAAGAAGCCCCGGCUAACUCCGUGCCAGCCGCCGCCGUAA
rnacentral:rRNA from 1 species